AACGAACGCUGGCGGCAGGCUUAACACAUGCAAGUCGAACGCACCGCAAGGUGAGUGGCAGACGGGUGAGUAACACGUGGGGAUCUGCCCAAUGGUACGGAAUAGCUCCGGGAAACUGGAAUUAAUACCGAAUGUGCCCUUCGGGGGACAGAUUUAUCGCCAUUGGAUGAACCCGCGUCGGAUUAGCUAGUUGGUGAGGUAAAGGCUCACCAAGGCGACGAUCCGUAGCUGGUCUGCGAGGAUGAUCAGCCACACUGGGACUGAGACACGGCCCAGACUCCUACGGGAGGCAGCAGUGGGGAAUAUUGGACAAUGGGCGCAAGCCUGAUCCAGCCAUGCCGCGUGAGUGAUGAAGGCCUUAGGGUUGUAAAGCUCUUUCGCCGACGAAGAUAGUGGCGGUAGUCGGAGAAGAAGCCCCGGCUAACUUCGUGCCAGCCGCCGCCGUAACAC
rnacentral:rRNA from 1 species